GUUGUCUAUAUGAUCACUAAUGUGAUCAACGGGCCAAAAGUACUAAGAAUUUCUGCAUUAUAACUUCUGGUUAACAUGAGAAAGGUGCAUGCUGGCUUGUUUGGAAAAUAGCAGAGGGAAAAGAAUGCAAGACAAUUUGACCUCCUCAAUUUGGUGGUGCUUUAAGGGGAAUUGGAGAUGGUGUUAAACUAUGCUUCUUUGGCAACUAUUUGGUUAGUUUUCUGCAAUGUGGUCCUUUGUUUCUAGCUACGCUAAGUAAAGGCCUAACUAAUACAAAGGUGUUGGUGGUUUUUUUCAUCUUUGUUUUCUUUUGUUCAAAUGUGAAAAUGUUUAACUAGAUUGACUUGUGGUUUUUUUUCCUGAAUUUUAACUCAACUUUGU